rnacentral:pre_miRNA from 1 species
CAAGUACUCCCUCUGUCCGGAAUUACUUGUCAUCAAAAUGGAUGUGUCUAGAACUAAAAUACAUAUAGAUACAUCCAUUUCAAUGACAAGUAUUUUUAGACGGAGGGAGUACAAG